UGAUCGUCGGUGGGAGAGAGCACAAUGUUCGUUUUUUCGGAAUCGAACCUCCUGUGACGCCGAAGGAGCAAGCAGCAUCCCGCCCAAGGGUGUGUGCGAAUCUCUCAGGCAAACGUACCGCCGCGGGACG
rnacentral:ncRNA from 1 species